GACGUAGGGCGCGAGCGUUGUCCGGAUUUAUUGGGCGUAAAGAGCUUGUAGGCGGUUUGUCGCGUCUGCUGUGAAAAUCCGGGGCUCAACCCCGGACUUGCAGUGGGUACGGGCAGUCUAGAGUGUGGUAGGGGAGACUGGAAUUCCUGGUGUAGCGGUGAAAUGCGCAGAUAUCAGGAGGAACACCGAUGGCGAAGGCAGGUCUCUGGGCCACUACUGACGCUGAGAAGCGAAAGCAUGGGGAGCGAACAGG
rnacentral:rRNA from 1 species